rnacentral:rRNA from 1 species
AUUGAACGCUGGCGGCAUGCCUUACACAUGCAAGUCGAACGGCAGCGGGGGAGAAGCUUGCUUUUCCUGCCGGCGAGUGGCGAACGGGUGAGUAAUACAUCGGAACGUGCCCUGUAGUGGGGGAUAACUAGUCGAAAGAUUAGCUAAUACCGCAUACGACCUGAGGGUGAAAGUGGGGGACCGCAAGGCCUCAUGCUAUAGGAGCGGCCGAUGUCGGAUUAGCUAGUUGGUGGGGUAAAGGCCUACCAAGGCGACGAUCAGUAACUGGUCUGCGAGGACGAUCAGCCACACUGGGACUGAGACACGGCCCAGACUCCUACGGGAGGCAGCAGUGGGGAAUUUUGGACAAUGGGCGAAAGCCUGAUCCAGCAAUGCCGCGUGUGUGAAGAAGGCCUUCGGGUUGUAAAGCACUUUUGUCCGGAAAGAAAUGGCUCUGGUUAAUACCUGGGGUCGAUGACGGUACCGGAAGAAUAAGGACCGGCUAACUACGUGCCAGCAGCCGCAGUAA